ACACACACACACACACACACACACACACAGCCACAUAGGCUAGGCUACAAUUACAACAGUUUUCCCCACUCAUCCUGUCUCUUUUUUUCAGAGAGAAAGAGAGAGAGAGAGAGAGGGAGAGCUUUGUGCAUAGAAAU